rnacentral:rRNA from 1 species
AUGAGGAUUACAGCCUAGAACUAUCGGGGAUUGGGGAAUGGCCCGGCAGUGAGAGGUCUUCUGGACCUCCAGAAGCAGGUAGACCCCGAUGUCCUUUUCUUGUCUGAAACAAAGAUGGCCGAGAGAGGAAUGGAAAAACAAAAGUGGAUGCUUGGCAUGGGAAAUAUGAUUGUCAAGGCAUGUGAUGGGAAGAGUGGUGGUUUGGCAUUACUGUGGAAA